GGAGAGGUGUCCGAGUGGUUGAAGGAGCACGACUGGAAAGUGUGUAUACGCUAACCGCGUAUCGAGGGUUCGAAUCCCUCUCUCUCCGCCA
rnacentral:tRNA from 1 species